rnacentral:lncRNA from 1 species
GUUGUACCUCUAUGGAAACGAAGGCUUAACUAAUAAAUGGCAGAGCUACGAAAACUUGACCUUUGGUCUGUGUCCUACCUUCACACUUAGUCCCAUGAGAUUCUUGCCUCUGUCUAGUACCUGAAGAAUUCAAUCCAAACUCCUGAGCCUGGAAUUUCAGCCCCUCGACCAUCUGUACGCAUUUCCCUCCCAGGCUUCUGUCUUCUUGCUCCUCGCCAUGCAUUGCAUGCUUGAGUCACACCAGAUCACUCGCUGUAACUGGUCCUUGCGUUCUUCCAGCCUUUUGCACAGGCUGUUCUUUCCCCAUGGAAUCUUUUUCUCUCCUCUCUGCCUGGCAAGCUGCCAAUGUGAUUUUCUCCUAAUACUCAAUCUGACUGUGACUUCCCUGUUUAAAGCCUCUCUGUGUUUCCUCACCACUUUCCAUGAUCAGGAUGAAGUUUCUUAACUUUACACAGAAGAUCUUCAAGUUGUGGGUUCUGCUGACAUUGCAGGCUCACCUCUCCCACUUUUGGCUCCUGCUUAAUCCUCCACACCAUGAUCUACUCAGAGUUCCCUGAGCGUUUGAGGCACUCGCUGUUCCAGGCCUUUGCACAUGCUAUUUCUUUCCUAGAACACUCUUCGCACCUCCUUCACUUGGUUAAUUUUUACCUGUUCUUAUCAUAGCUUGGGCGACACCUCCUCAGAGAUUUUUUCCCUUACCCUUCCAGCAUAUCUGUGCCCUCCCUCCUCCCUCAAGGUAUCUGUUUUAAAAUAUAUUUUUUCUAUACUACGAGUUCCUCAACAUCAGUGACCAAAUCUAAUUAAUGUCUGAUUUUCCAGAGCCUCCCAUAGGGCCUGGCAUCCAGACAGUCUUAAGAAAUAAGUGAUGGGCCGGGCAUGGUGGCUUAUGCCUAUAAUCACAGCACUUUGGGAGGCCAAGGCGGGCAGAUAGUUUGAUCUCAGGAGUUCAAGACCAGCCUGGGCAACAAAGCAAGACCCCGUCUCUACAAAAUAAAGUUAAAAAAUUAGCUGGGUGUAGUGGCAUGUGCCUAUAGUCCCAGCUACUCAGGAGGCUGAGGUGGGAGGAUGGCUUGAGCCCAGAAGAUCGAGGCUGCAGUGAGUCAUGAUCACACCACUACACCCUAGCCUGGGCAACAGAACAAGACCCUGUCUCUAAAAAUAAAAUAAAGUUAAAAGAAAGGAAAAGAAAUAAAACGGGCAGGGGGGCUCCUGCCUAUAAUCUCACCACUUUGGGAGGCUGAGGUGGGUGGAUCACUUGAACCCAAGAGUUCAAGACCAGCCCAGGCAACAUGGUGAAACCCUGUCACUACAAAAAAUACAAAAAUUAGCCAAGUGUGGUGGUUGCAUGCCUGUGGUCCAGCUCCUCAGGAGGCUGAGGCAGAGAAUCGCUUGAGGCCUAGGAAGCACAGUUUACGGUGAGCCAAGAUCAUGCCGUUCCACUCCUGCCUGGGCAACAGAGUAAGACUCUUGUCUCAAAA